CGCAUUUCCAAUUUGCAGCCCGUCACUUCGAUGCGGACAAAAUAAUAAUACAUUAUCUUAUUCGGUGUCUCCCGAGCGAUCAUACGGAACGACGACAUUUGGUGUAUUGUAUCGAUCUCACACGAUAGACAGACACGGGAGAUUUCCGGAAUUUCGAAAGACUUCCGACAAAAGGUAAGUGAAGUGCAUUUAAUAUAGCGAUUUGUUUUGCGCGUCUUUAGUACAGGUAAACUACACGGAUUUUCGACGGUGGCACUGAGGCAGUCAAUCCGAACAAUAAUUUUACGUAAGUAUAGCAGGUAGGGUUGUUCGUCGGCAGAGAAGAUGUUUUGUCCAAAAUAUGAAUAUGUCACGUUCGAUCAACUCCUUAUCGGUGGGCCUGUGUACUCCGUCACGGUAUCGCAUAAUAUCAAUUUCGGAAAGCCAAACGACGGAAGCCCAAACGAUAUUCGGUCCGGAGUGAUCGUCCCACUGCGAUUUGAUUCCAGCCGAUUGAGACGCAAGCCCGCAGUGUAU